AGGCAAUCCAUCUGUUUUUGUUUUCUGUACCACAUUUCCUUCUCUAUAUUUUUUGCCCUGGGCUUUGAGAUACUGCUUCAACUUGAGCUUUUGGGGAACUAAUUAGUGUUUCAACAGCACAGCAGAGACAGCAUUUCACAAAGCAAAACUGCUCCCUAAUCUCAGAUAUUUGCCUGCCCAAUUAGCUGGAGGCUCCUUGAUGGCAGAGACUGCCUCCUUGGUAUCCCCAGCACACAGCACAGAACCUGGCACAUACUGUUGCCUCCACGUACCUGAAAUGCCAGUGCUCCAGCUGUCUUGAUUGAGAGGCCUAGUUUGCAAGAAAACAAGACAAAAUACUUUGCUGCCUUAAUUCCAGUGGGAAUUUAAUUUAAUUAGCAUCUGAUUUACACAAUGCACUUCUGACAGCUGUGUUUGUGGAGUCUCUGUGGAAGCAAGAAAUUACCAUCCAUUGAAAUCAUCAUCAAAGCUUAUUUAUCAUCCUGCCAUGUCUUUCCAGCCUUCAGCCUUGGGAACUUCUGUGUGUUUAUUGCACAUUCAUGAAGGUUACAGUAAAUAAUACUCAAGUAAGUGCAUCAGGGUUUGUGGAGGGUUUGGUGCAGGCUUGUUCCAGAGCCUUAAUAGGAUGAAUCUGAAAAUGAGGCUUUGGAGAUUUGAUCAAAGGACAGGUGUCUUUUAAUGUUGAGUUUUUAAGAAACAUUAAGGAUCUCAAAUGAGAGAACACUUACCACCUGGACAAAAAGGACAUUCAACAGUGGCAUUUGGGGCUUGUGCCGUUACUGUUUGAACAGAGUAACUGUGAACUGUGAACUGGCUCAAGAAGAUGUGAGUGAUUUGGGAUGGACCUGCAAUGGGGCCUCUCCUGAAGGAGAGGACUAGGAACCGGACUAGGGCAACCAAGGGAUUGAUGGUAAGGUCUUAACCAUGUUUAUGUUCCCCAGUACCUAGCACAUAAUAAAUAGUUGUUGAAUGACUGAAUGAAUGAGAUCAGAGAUGAUUGAACUGGCUGCAGUUUUU
rnacentral:lncRNA from 10 species